UACAGAGGGUGCGAGCGUUGUUCGGAAUUAUUGGGCGUAAAGCGCUUGUAGGCGGCCUGUCAAGUCGCGUGUGAAAUCCCCUGGCUUAACCAGGGAAGUGCGCGCGAAACUGAAGGGCUUGAGUGCCGGAGAGGGUCGCGGAAUUCCCGGUGUAGAGGUGAAAUUCGUAGAUAUCGGGAGGAACACCAGUGGCGAAGGCGGCUCACUGGCCCGGUACUGACGCUGAGGUGCGAAAGCGUGGGGAGCAAACAGG
rnacentral:rRNA from 1 species